rnacentral:lncRNA from 1 species
AUGAUCCAAAUAGUUCUUGCAGAGCUUCCAGGCACCCUCACUGACUCCCUGCUUGUUGAGACUCUGCCAGUCUUACCCUGGCUAGUUGCCUUCAUGACAGAGAUCAACGAGGGGAGAUGUUCCUGGCUUGGUAAAUUCUCUGAGGAUGUUCACAAUGAUCUAAGAAAUGAAGCUGCCUUUUACCAGAACAAAGUCCUCAAAACAUUAGAAAGGACAGAGCAUAAAACUGGAAGAGAUUUCCAGGGCUAUUGUGUUUUAUGUCCUAGUCAGUUAUACCAAAGAGUAACCCUUUCACACCCAUCUUGAAACGCGUGAGUUUCAUUACUUUUGUAUUUCGAAGGAUGCAUUGUUUUGCAGCUUCAUUCUGCUGAUGAUUUGAGACUUCAUUGCCAAGUGACAUUUUCACUGUGUGCCUAGCCAGUCUCUCUUAAUUUAUAAAUCAGUUGUUCUUUUCCUGUGGUAAAUUUAAGAUGUUUCCCCUUCAGAAUUUGUAGAAUGCAAUUCCACACCUUGACUGUAUUUGUCUUAAUGCUAAGUGAGCCAAACUCUUUUGUUUUCCCAAUCUGUCUUAGUGAUUGUCUUCCAGUAAUAACAGAAGUGGUUGAG